GUUAGGAAUAUUGGACAAUGGGCGAAAGCCUGAUCCAGCCAUGCCGCGUGAACGAUGAAGGCCUUCGGGUUGUAAAGUUCUUUAGCCGAUGAUUAUAAUGACUGUAGUCGGAAAAUAAGCCCCGGCUAACUUCGUGCCAGCAGCCGCGGUAAUACGAAGGGGGCGAGCGUUAUUCGGAAUCACUGGGCGUAAAGCGUGCGUAGGCGGUUUUGUCAGUUAGGAGUGAAAGCCCAGGGCUCAACCUUGGAAUUGCUCUUAAAACUGCAAGGCUCGAAUCUCGGAGAGGAUAGCGGAAUUUCCAGUGUAGCAGUGAAAUGCGUAGAUAUUGGAAGGAACACCAGUGGCGUGAGCGGCUAUCUGGACGAGUAUUGACGCUGAGGCACGAAAGCGUGGGGAUCAAACAGGAUUAGAUACCCCGGUAGUCC
rnacentral:rRNA from 1 species